GCAACUGUGCUAAUAAAGCAGGCAGGCUGUGCCACGUUCUGCAGGCAUGAUGAGUAAGAGCAUACCUGCGGACCACUGAUUUGCCCAAAAUGCCCAGAGCAGUGCUUGAAAUCAUCUGUGAUGUGAUGCAUUUGUUCCACCUCAUCCACCUCGAGGCAUCACAGGAUGAGGUCUUCAGGGAUGAACUGAUUUACACAACCUUACUCAACUCACAUUACACCUCUCUGGCUCUCUUCCACAUCUCCAAGAGGCGUUAGAGGCUUUUGGACAUUUGGUUCCCUUCACCGCAGCUAUGAACAAUUCACUAGG